rnacentral:rRNA from 1 species
CCUACGGGAGGCAGCAGUGAGGAAUAUUGGUCAAUGGGCGCGAGCCUGAACCAGCGAAGUAGCGUGAAGGAUGACUGCCCUACGGGUUGUAAACUUCUUUUAUAAAGGAAUAAAGUGAGGCACGUGUGCCUUUUUGUAUGUACUUUAUGAAUAAGGAUCGGCUAACGCCGUGCCAGCCGCCGUGGUAAUACGGAGGAUCCGAGCGUUGUCCGGUAUUAUUGGGGUGAAAGGGAGCCGAGAGGGGUUGUUAAGUUAGUUGGGAAAGUGUGGGGCUCAACCGUAGAAUUGCAAUUGAUACUAGCAAUCUAGAGUACAGUUGAGGUAGGCGGAAUUCGUGGUGAAGCGGUGAAAUGCUUAGAUA